rnacentral:hammerhead_ribozyme from 1 species
CCACUGCUGAGGAGUCCCACAACAGGACGAAACGACCGUCCAAUGC